rnacentral:rRNA from 1 species
AUACGUAGGUGGCAAGCGUUGUCCGGAUUUAUUGGGCGUAAAGCGAGCGCAGGCGGUUUCUUAAGUCUGAUGUGAAAGCCCCCGGCUCAACCGGGGAGGGUCAUCGGAAACUGGGAGACUUGAGUGCAGAAGAGGAGAGUGGAAUUCCAUGUGUAGCGGUGAAAUGCGUAGAUAUAUGGAGGAACACCAGUGGCGAAGGCGGCUCUCUGGUCUGUAACUGACGCUGAGGCUCGAAAGCGUGGGGAGCAAACAGGAUUAGAUACCCUGGUAGUCCACGCCGUAAACGAUGAGUGCUAAGUGUUGGAGGGUUUCCGCCCUUCAGUGCUGCAGCAAACGCAUUAAGCACUCCGCCUGGGGAGUACGACCGCAAGGUUGAAACUUAAAGGAAUUGACGGGG